CUCAGGGCAGGGUGCAAUUCCCGACCGGCGGUAAACCCCGCGACUUCGUGAAAACGGAAAUGAACUGGUGCAAUUCCAGUGGCGACAGUAAAGUCUGGAUGGAAGAGU
rnacentral:ncRNA from 1 species